rnacentral:tRNA from 1 species
GGCGGCAUGGCCAAGUGGUAAGGCAGGGGACUGCAAAUCCUUUAUCCCCAGUUCAAAUCCGGGUGUCGCCUGAUCAACAAA